rnacentral:misc_RNA from 1 species
AACGCAAAUGGCGUUAGCGGGAAACCGCUAGCAUGCCUGUCUGAGUGUCAUUUUCAUCCAUCUUGAUUCUCAUUCCGCCUCUCUUGCAAAAGAGACAAGGAACGAAAUCAGUAUUGAGGUUUGUCGCGGUCUCCAAAAAAGGCCGCGUCCCUUUAAGAAAGUGAUUUUUUUUAAAAAAAAGCACUUUUUUUCUUGCAAAAAAAAAAAAAAAAUACGGCGACAAAGAAAAAAUUUGUCAUGAACGAUUUCUUCUUUUCUUUUUUUUUUCAUUGCAUGUGAAACUAGCUUGUUUGAAGUCUUUUUUUUUCUUUGCAAGGAAUACCAAAAAGAAAGUGAAAAUCAACUUGACCUCAGAUCAGACAAGACUACCCGCUGCAUUUA